rnacentral:lncRNA from 1 species
UGAGCGUAAAUCGGUUUAAACCGAAAAACCGAACCGAACCGAUCGAUUUCGAUUUAAUGGUUCGGUUAAUCGAAAAGUUCGGUUCGGUUCGGUUAAUAUUUUUCAACUUAUUCGGUUUUCGGUUCGGUUCGGUUUAAACGUGUUAAAUAACCGAAAAACCGAAAAACCAAUUUUUAAUAUAUUUUUAUUAUUUAAAACACUGGUUUGAU